rnacentral:rRNA from 1 species
AUUGAACGCUGGCGGCAGGCUUAACACAUGCAAGUCGAGCGGGGGAGGUUGCUUCGGUAACUGACCUAGCGGCGGACGGGUGAGUAAAGCUUAGGAAUCUGCCUAUUAGUGGGGGACAACAUUCCGAAAGGGAUGCUAAUACCGCAUACGCCCUACGGGGGAAAGCAGGGGAUCUUCGGACCUUGCGCUAAUAGAUGAGCCUAAGUCGGAUUAGCUAGUUGGUGGGGUAAAGGCCUACCAAGGCGACGAUCUGUAGCGGGUCUGAGAGGAUGAUCCGCCACACUGGGACUGAGACACGGCCCAGACUCCUACGGGAGGCAGCAGUGGGGAAUAUUGGACAAUGGGGGGAACCCUGAUCCAGCCAUGCCGCGUGUGUGAAGAAGGCCUUUUGGUUGUAAAGCACUUUAAGCGAGGAGGAGGCUUACCUGGUUAAUACCUAGGAUAAAGGGACGUACUCGCAGAA